rnacentral:lncRNA from 1 species
GUGCGUCUCGGGUCUGUGCAUGUCACCUCGGCGGCUCCCAUCUCGGCGCUCCUCAGUCUGUGGGACAGUGCUUGUCUAGCUCCUCUCAGUUCUUCUGAGCCAGCUCACCAUACUGGGCCUGGAUGUCCGCCACGACCUUGCUGAGGUCCUGAGGUCUGGGGGCCUCCACCUCCACAGUCAACCCAGAGCUGGCAAUCUGGGCUUGAAGGCCUUUGACUUCCUCUCAUGGUUCUUCUUCAUGAAGAGCAGCUCCUCCCUGAGAGUCUCAACUUCUGUCUCCAGCUGUAGCCAAGUGAUACUGGUGUUAUCAAUGGCCUUGCGGACCCCAUGAAUGUCACUCUCUAUAAACUGGCACAUUGCCAGCUCUGUCUCCUACUUGACUCUAAAGUCAGCAGCAGCAAGACAUGAUUGUCAAUCUGCAGAACAAUGUGCGCCUGGUCCCCAGAAUUUGCAAAGAUCUAACUCACAGCUCCUCGACGGUCUUGAAGUAAUGCCCUCACUCUCUGAUCUGGGGACCCUUGUUCUCCAGGUGUUCUCUGAUCUUGCCCUCCAGACUCCUCACUCUGUCCAGGUAGGAGGACAGGCAAUCAUUCAGGUCUUGCAUGGUCUCCUUCUCACUUUGGAUGUCACCCAGUCCCGCCAGACCCCUGGCCGUCCCUGCUGCUGGGCUCCUGGACACCCAGCUACCCUGGAAGCUGGUGGAAUGGGACACUGAGAUUUGGGAGCCUGAGCCUCCAGGGCCUGCCUAGAUGCUGGCCAUGCUGCUGGGGGGCUAGAUCCGGUGGCUGUGUGACCGAUGGACCCCAGGGAUUGGUAUUGGUGGAGAAUGUGCUAUCUGGUAGGAAGGGGAGAGACCAGGACUCAGGUUCAGGCUGCAGUUGUGGUGGUUUGCAAUCUAAGUUAUAUCCCCCGAGUCAGGAUUCUCUCUUUAUCUUUGGCUUUUGGUGGUUUGAUGAUGUGUCUUGGUGUAGGACCCUGAAUUCAUCCUACUUGAAGAAAUGGAGCUUCCUGGACAUGGACACUUAAGCCUUUCAUUAAACUGCGGUACUCUUGGUCAGUAUGAGCCUUAAGUUAUGUCAUCGAUGCCUCUUUGAAAGCUAGUCCACCCAAGGGUACUGAUGAAGACGACUGUGCUCACCUCUCAGGGAUCCAGACAGGAAACGCAGAGCGCAGUUGCUGAGACGAGGCACACAGUGCCUGGACCAUCACGGCUCACCAGGAAGGUGGACAGCCUCCCCUGGCUGCUGGGAGUGGGCAAUGGUGCAGACCGUGGGCAAGCAGAAACCCUGGGGUGCUCUCAGAGACCUUGCCGCAGUCUCAGGCGCAUCCCUGGUUGUGGAAAG